rnacentral:lncRNA from 1 species
AGAAGUAGUGUUGAUGAGAUUAUGGUUGCAUACCUUGCGAGGUCCCUUGUAGAUCUUUUCAUAGGAUGAAAUCAUGUAACCAUCGAGAGAGAUCAUGGGGGCGAUUACGGUGCAACGUGAAGAGACUCCCGAUCGGGAUAGUUAUUGUACUUUUCUUUUCCAUUCUGAAAUCCACUGAAAGUCGUGGGUGAUUUUGAAUUUUGAAUUAAGGUGUAGGUG